UACGUAGGGUGCGAGCGUUAAUCGGAAUUACUGGGCGUAAAGUGUGCGCAGGCGGUUUUGCAAGUCAAGGGUGAAAGCCCCGGGCUUAACCUGGGAACUGCGCUUGAAACUACGGAACUCGAGUAUGGCAGAGGAAGGUGGAAUUCCACGUGUAGCGGUGAAAUGCGUAGAGAUGUGGAGGAACACCGAUGGCGAAGGCAGCCUUCUGGGCCAAUACUGACGCUCAUGCACGAAAGCGUGGGGAGCAAACAGG
rnacentral:rRNA from 1 species